UGUAGAGAAUGCAACCCUGACAUGUAGUCUUGAGGAAAUGCCCAGCAAACCGGAACGGAGGAACUUAGAUGAAACAGCUGACCACUAGUCCUCCAGAGUGUCAAGGUCUCGAAGGACAGACCCCGAAAAUAUCCAGAUUAAAGGAAAUUAACAAAACAUGGCAACUAAACGCAACCAACUUUCGGCCUUGAAUUCUAUCCUGGACCAGAAAAUGGACACUAAUGCAACGGAACAAAUAGAACUGGAAAUAAACACGACAUUAAUAUUGGUUCUAUUCAAGUGAUGGGACCAGAGUCAUACCUGGUGAUAGAACAUCAAGUUUGAGAGGUUAUAUUUCGGGGAAAUGAGACAAGACUACAUAAGAGGUACGUUGCCCAUCAUUUCUCUAGGUACUCAAAAUUCUUUGCUUUGAUAAAUUUUGAUCCUUACGUAAUUAUAUUAUAUUAGCUUUCUGCAGAGUCACAUUUUCUGAAUUCUGUUAUAGGCUUACCUUUUAUUCAACGUUGCUACUCUUUUGAC